AUUGAACGCUGGCGGCAGGCCUAACACAUGCAAGUCGAACGAGUGGCGGACGGGUGAGUAAUGUCUGGGAAACUGCCUGAUGGAGGGGGAUAACUACUGGAAACGGUAGCUAAUACCGCAUACCAUCAGAUGUGCCCAGAUGGGAUUAGCUUGUUGGUGGGGUAACGGCUCACCAAGGCGACGAUCCCUAGCUGGCCUGAGAGGAUGACCGGCGACACGGGAACUGAGACACGGUCCAGACUCAGACGGGAGGCAGCAGGGGGGAAUAUUGCACAAUGGGUGAAAGCCUGAUGGAGCCAGGCCGCGUGAGGGAAGAAGGUCUGCUGGUUGUAAAGAACUUUCAGCGGGGAGGCGUUACCCGAAGAAGAAGAACCGGCUAACUCCGUGACAGCAGACGCGGUAAUUC
rnacentral:rRNA from 1 species